rnacentral:pre_miRNA from 1 species
GAUGUACUCCCUUCGUUCGGAAUUACUUGUCUCGGAAAUGGAUGUAUCUAGAAAUACGUCUAGAUACAUCCAUUUCCGAGACAAGUAAUUCCGAAUGGAGGGAGUAUGUG